rnacentral:rRNA from 1 species
GACGAACGCUGGCGGCGUGCUUAACACAUGCAAGUCGAACGGAAAGGCCCCUUCGGGGGUACUCGAGUGGCGCAAAGGUGUGUAAAAUGUGUGUAACAUGUCCUUGUCUUUGGGAUAACUUCAGGAAACUGGGGCUAUUACCGGAUAGGCAUCCUUGCUGCACGGUGGGGGUUGGAAAGCUUCGGCGGUUUUGGAUGGACUCGCGGCUGAUCAGCUUGUUGGUGGGGUAGUGGCUUACCAAGGCUUUGACGGGUAGCCGGUCUGAGAGGGCGACCGGCCACAUUGGGACUGAGAGACGGCCCAGACUCCUACGGGAGGCAGCAGUGGGGAAUAUUGCACAAUGGGCGGAAGCCUGAUGCAGCAACGCCGCGUGCGGGAUGACGGCCUUCGGGUUGUAAACCGCUUUCAGCAGGGGCGAAGCUUGUGGUGACGGUACCUGCAGAAGAAGCACCGGCUAACUACGUG